rnacentral:misc_RNA from 1 species
GAUGAAGAACGUAGCGAAAUGCGAUAAGUAAUGUGAAUUGCAGAAUUCAGUGAAUCAUCGAAUCUUUGAACGCACAUUGCGCCCCUUGGUAUUCCGAGGGGCAUGCCUGUUCGAGCGUCAUUACACCACUCAAGCUAUGCUUGGUAUUGGGUGUCGUCCUUAGUUGGGCGCGCCUUAAAGACCUCGGCGAGGCCUCCCCGGCUUUAGGCGUAGUAGAAUUUAUUCGAACGUCUGUCAAAGGAGAGGAACUCUGCCGACUGAAACCUUUACUUUUACAGGUUGACCUCGGAUCAGGUAGGGAUACCCGCUGAACUUAAGCAUAUCAAUAAGCGGAGGA